rnacentral:rRNA from 1 species
UGGGGAAUCUUCCGCAAUGGGCGAAAGCCUGACGGAGCGACGCCGCGUGAGCGAAGAAGGCCUUCGGGUCGUAAAGCUCGAUAGUGUGGGAAGAAGGAAUGACGGUACCACACGAAAGCCCCGGCUAACUACGUG